UAAAAAAAUGUGCUGCUGUUCACACUAUUUGUGUACACAUACAUCUGUUCUUCUUCUUCUUUGUUCUCAUUUUACAUGUUGGAGGGUUCAGCAGACAUGCCUACAGUCCCGCAUUAUGCGGAACCGUCCCGCAAAAGCAUCAAAAAAGCUCACAUGUUCCGCCGUUCCGCAUUCACGAUUUUUUGUUCCGCCAAGUCUGAAUUCCGACACAAAAAAAAAAAAAAAAAAAUCGCCGAUUUUUCAUUAUUUAUUAAUAAUGCGAAAUUAAAAUACUGAAUGCAAAAUAAAAUAUAUAUAGGUCUGUGUUUAUUGUUUACAUUUCAUCUUCUCCCGGACCCGGUGUGUCCUAAAUUUACGAAGAUAAGGUUGAGCUAGAUCUAGACAUAGAUCUAGUACUCUAGGUCUAGAUACUAGAUCUAGAUUUAUUCUUAGAAUCUAGUAAGUGCUAAUUAUGCUAAUAAGCCAAAUGUUUCAUUCAAAUCCCUUUCUUUUCCCGACAAUGGCUAUACUACUUAGUCUACUUACUUGAGUACUUACUACUAGUCUAGACUAGAUCUAGACUCUAGACUACUCUAUCUCUAGACUAUUGGCAAUUGGAAUUGCAUUUGCCGUAUUGCCACUAUUGGAGUCUAUAAUUAGUAUAAUCAGAGUAUUGUCACUAUUCUAACAGUAACUAACACUAACUCAACUGGUUUCUUAGGUUUCUAAGUCCUAAUUAAUCUAGAAAAGGAUUUUUUUAAAAAAAAUACGUUAUUAAAGAUCUAGAUACUAGAUCUAGACCUAAAUGUAAUUAAUUUUAUUAGACACAGUAAGGCUAAGGCCUAAAUAAGGCUACAGUUAGAUCUACUAUUCUACUUAUUAGUAUUAUUACAUCUUAUAGUCUAAAUUAAUUAUUAGUUUAGUUUCUAGAUCUAAAAGUAAAAGUAGGACUAGCACUUCUGCUAAAUCUCUAGAGAUCUGUCUAGAAAUAGACUUAGAAGGUGAUAGAUUAGAUUCUAGUUUAUUAUGUAAUAAAUUUACUAUUUAUUUAGAUCUAGUUCUCAAUAAGUUGAAUAAGUCUAUAGAUUAGUCUGAUUAGUAUAGAUCUAGACUGACUAGACAUUAAUAUUUAGAUCUAUAAUCUAUAAUAUUAUUUUUAUAAUCUGUGUUCUUAGACUUAUUAGGACUUAUUAGAUGUAGGUCUAGACUAGGUAAGUCACUAGUAGACUCUUAAAUUAUUUUAGUUAGAUCUAGAACUAGAGACAAGAUCUAGGGUUAUUAGAGUGAUUAGAGUAGAGCCCUAGAAAAGGAUAGAUAAUCAAGUAGAUCUAGAAUAAUCUAGAUCUAGUCAGUAGAUUUAUAUCUAGUAGUAACAAAUAAAAAUAGAUAUUAGUAACAUUUGAGUCUAGGUCAUUAGAAUACAUUUUAGUUAGAAUUCAUCAUUUAGGAGUUAAGAACUAUUGAUUUCAAACAAAGGACAUAAUUAUGAAUUAAAGACAUUCCAGUAGGUACCAAUUGUGCUAUUCUUCACCUAGAUCUAGAUCUUAACUUUUCUCUUAACUACCAAAGAAGUACACAAAGGAUGUUGAAUGGUACCCAAAGGGCUCUAAUUGCUACCAUUCAAUGUGUGGAUUCAAGUAUUUACCCAGAUACUGCCACAAUAUGCUCUUAUUGUUUUCAAAGGAGUUUGCACACAGUGCCAUAAGCUGUAUAAUGUGCCAUAAGCUGUAUAAAUACAUUUAACAAUGUAUAUUUCAAGAAGAAAUGAUGCUUUCUUAUUCCUAAGAGUUUAUCAAUAGGAUGGAUGCCACAAAACUCACUUGUUAUGCCAGAAACUCUUCCUACGAAACUUCCAUACUAGAAUUUGUCCAGUGCCUGUGAUCCUCCGAGUUGAAGGAGAAUGUGCUCCAUAAUAUCUACUAGGAGCUUGCUGAUAGCUGGAAGUUCAUGAAUACUAUGUUGUCCUUGAUUUGAUGAUUCUGAAAACUACCAUUUCUCAAGACUUGAGCAUUAUUUCUAAUAUUUAAAAAAAUCUUUUCAGGAAAUAUUGUGUUUAUAAUACUAAGAAAGUGAAGAUAAUAUUGUUCUUACUAAUAUUAUUGACAUAUUAAAAUAGAAAGCACAUCAUUACCAAUAUUCACUUGUCAAUAAAUAUUAGCAUUAUUCAAUUUUUAGUUACAUGUUCAGACUAUUAAAUUUUAUUAUUUAAAUUAUAGCAACUUUCUCUUUCAGUCAAGCUUAAGAUACAUUCCUGUAAAAAGUCUAGAAUAAUAAGUUAAUGUCAAGUAGUAUUGUUCAGACACUUACAAGUUUAAUCAUCUAUACUUCACAAAAAAAAAAGUGUUUGAAUGGUUUUCAUUUGUUUGUACAUCAAAUAUGUAUUAAUAUAAUUAUCAUUUUUAAAUGAAACAUCAAAUACUGAAGAUGACCAUUUCAAUUUCUGAUGUAGGUCUAUUCUCAUUUCAUAAAACAAACAGAAUAUUAUCUGAAAUUUCAUCCCUUCAUUGUAACUGUAACUGGCUUCUUAAAAAAAUGGAGUGAUGACUGGAUUGACUAUACAUUUUAGUAUAAAUAAUGCAUCAAUGAAUGUAGCUUAUACUGUUCUUUUCCUCAUCUUGAAAUGUGUGGACUGAUAAUUUGCUGUUGCAUUUUGUUUUCAUAAGUCAAUGACACAUGAUACUCUAAAUGACAAAUAUACUCAUUACAAUAGCACAUUUCCAUGCUGUUUGUCUAAGUGGAAGCAGAUAAAAUUUGUUCCUCUAUUCUUAUCUUAUCUUCUUAUGUAAUACAGACGUUACUUCAAAAAAGAAGAUGAUUACGUCCUACGCAUCAUUCAUUUAGUCAUGCAUAUUAACCAAUGAUUUAAAUUCUGCCAAGUCACUGGUUUUCCUAGCUAGCUAAGAAGGAGUAUUUGUACAAAUUUGUCCUAGCAUAUGGGACGAGGAAUGUGCCUUUAUCUUUGUGUCUUUCAGAGUAUUUUAUUAAAUUUUGUUUUUGUAUUUGAA